CUUAAUACAUGCAAGUCAACUUGACUUUAGAUAGCAAUAUCGAAAGUAGGGUGGCGCGACGGGUGCGUAACGCGUUAGGUAAUCUGCCCUGAGGUCUGACAUAACCCGUCGAAAGGCGGGCUAACAUCAGAUGAUAUAUAAUCACGACAUCGUGGAAAUAUCAAAUCUUCGGAACCUUUGGGAUGAGCCUGCGUCUGAUUAGGUAGUUUGGCGGAGUAAUAGCCCACCAAGCCUACGAUCAGUAGCUGGUCUGAGAGGAUGAUCAGCCACACUGGAACUGAGACACGGUCCAGACUCCUACGGGAGGCAGCAGUAAGGAAUAUUGCUCAAUGGGGGGAAACCCUGAAGCAGCAACGCCGCGUGAAGGAUGAAAUACUUUUGUAUGUAAACUUCUGUAAGAUGGGAAAAAUAUUCUCCUCGGGAGAAUUGAUUGUACCAUCAGAGUAAGCCCCGGCUAACUACGUG
rnacentral:rRNA from 1 species